rnacentral:rRNA from 1 species
CCCUUAGAUGUUCUGGGCCGCACGCGCGCUACACUGACGAAUGCAACGAGCUUAUAACCUUGGCCGAAAGGUCUGGGUAAUCUCCAAAUUUCGUCGUGAUGGGGAUAGAUUAUUGCAAUUAUUAAUCUUCAACGAGGAAUGCCUAGUAAGCGCAAGUCAUCAGCUUGCGUUGAUUACGUCCCUGCCCUUUGUACACACCGCCCGUCGCUCCUACCGAUUGAAUGGUCCGGUGAAGCCUCGGGAUUGCGAAUGCUUCGUGCGGACGCGAGAACUUGGCUAAACCUUACCAUUUAGAGGAAGGUGAAGUCGUAACA